CAGUCGCCGCGGUAAUACGGAGGGUGCAAGCGUUACUCGGAAUCACUGGGCGUAAAGGACGCGUAGGCGGAUUAUCAAGUCUCUUGUGAAACCUAACGGCUUAACCGUUAAACUGCUUGGGAAACUGAUAAUCUAGAGUAAGGGAGAGGCAGAUGGAAUUCUUGGAGUAGGGGUAAAAUCCGUAGAUAUCAAGAAGAAUACCUAUUGCGAAGGCGAUCUGCUGGAACUUAACUGACGCUAAUGCGUGAAAGCGUGGGGAGCAAACAGGAUUAGAUACCCCCGUAGUCCCUGUCUCUUAUAC
rnacentral:rRNA from 1 species